rnacentral:rRNA from 1 species
CACUUAGAUGUUCUGGGCCGCACGCGUGCUACACUGAGUGGAUCAGCGGGUCAGGUUGCGCGAAAGCGUUUCCUAAUCUUUAAAUCCGCUCGUGAUGGGGAUUGACGGUUGCAAUUUUCUGUCAUGAACGAGGAAUACCUUGUAAGCGCGGGUCAUCAUCCCGCGCUGAAUACGUCCCUGCCCUUUGUACACACCGCCCGUCGCUCCUACCGAUUGAGUGGUCCGGUGAGGCUUUGGGAUCUGAGCGGAAAGAGCGUUUCGCUGUUUCUGCUCGGAAAACUCAGUCGAACCUUAUCAUUUAGAGGAAGGAGAGGUCGUAACA